rnacentral:lncRNA from 1 species
GGGGAAACUGCAAGAUGGUCGAGACAUAGCAGUUAAAAGGCUUUCUAGAGCAUCUGGACAAGGGUUGGAGGAAUUCAUGAACGAAGUAUUGGUGAUUUGUAAGCUUCAACAUCGCAACCUUGUAAGGCUUAUUGGCUGUUGUGUUGAAGGUGAUGAAAAGAUGUUGAUGUAUGAAUACAUGCCAAACAAAAGUUUGGAUGCAUUUAUCUUUGGUUAGUUUUUUAGUCCCCUUUAGCAUUUUCAUAUAUUAAAUUCCCUGUCCUCGUGAGCUUAGCUCAGUUGGUAUGGACAAUGCAUAAUAAUAUGCAAGGUCCGGGGUUUGAACCCCGGACACCACCAAAAAAAUAUAUUAAAUUCCAUACUUUCGUGCUUCUCUUUAUUUUAGUUUUCCUGGAAGCAUGCUAAUAGAGUAAUUUUGAUGGCUUCCCUGUAUAUUUUGUUAAUCUAUUCUAAAUAAUAUAAUGCUACCCUUAUUUUUUAGAUCCAUCAAAAAACAAACUCCUGGAUUGGAGGACACGGUGUAACAUCAUAGAAGGAAUUGCUCGAGGGUUGCUAUAUCUUCACAGAGAUUCUAGGCUAAGAAUUAUUCAUAGAGAUUUGAAGGCAAGUAAUGUCCUGUUAGAUGAGGAGUUGAAUCCAAAAAUAUCAGACUUUGGUCUGGCUAGAAUAUUUGGAGGAGGUGAAGAUCAGGCCAAUACUAGAAGGAUUGUCGGAACUUAGUAAGAAGAUUGCCUUUCUUAUCCAAUAUAUUAGUAGUAAUAAUUGUCAAGUAUUAUUUUGCAACUUGAUUAACUUUUUACAUUUUAAUGUAGUGGCUACAUGUCUCCUGAAUAUGCAAUGCAAGGAUUAUUUUCAGAGAAAUCAGAUGUUUUUAGCUUUGGUGUAUUGCUACUAGAGAUUGUUAUCGGAAGAAGAAACUCAAGUUUUUAUGAUGAUGAGCAUAAUCUUAGCCUUUUAGGAUAUGUAAGCCUCAACAUACCAUUUUUAGCUCAAUUUUGGCAUGUUUUUCUUUUGUUGACACAUUAUUCAAAUGUCUGAUUAUUUCUUUCCAUUUUUCUUUUAUCUCAUUUAGGUAUGGACACAAUGGAGUGAAGACAAUAUUUUGUCUCUAAUAGAUCAAGAAAUAUAUGAUCAUAGUCAUCAUAAUUAUAUUUCAAGGUGCAUACAUAUAGGACUAUUGUGUGCACAAGAACUUGCCAAAGAUAGGCCCACUAUGGCUGCAGUAAUUUCUAUGCUUAACAGUGAAACUUCAUUACUUCCUCCUCCUAGUAAACCUGCAUUCAUCCUGAGGGAGAAUAUGUUAAAUUCAAAGUUAGCUGAAGAAUGUCAAAAUGGUUGUUCCGUCAAUAAUGUCAGUAUUACAGACAUCAGUGGCAGAUAGCACACAAAGUGGUCAUCAUAAUCUGGUUCAGCAUUUGACGUCUAAAGUUUCCUCCAAAAAUAAAAAAAUUAGUCUAGCCAAUAUAAAGGGAAUAAUAUUUUUAGCACAACACCUCGACUCUCGACAGAUUCUUUGGGUCAGCCCUUGACACCAGUAGCGGCUGACCUUCAGGCUAGUGGUUCGAUAUCUAUCCUUACUCAUCUUCGUAGCAACACCCUUAGCUCAGGCGCCUCCAAUGCAACAUUGAUGCCACUUUUUCAGGUCAGUUGAACUGUGCAUGUAGUGGCAUGUGCUUACGCGACGGAGACUGUGCUUUUGUUUUGGCUAGACCUAUGUGCUUUACUCGUUUGUGUUCUGUGGACGUCAGUGAAGCAUUGAGAUUAUUCCAUGCUUUAGAAUGACUUAGUGAUAUGGAGUUUGAUUGCGUGGAGUUCGUGCUCGACUCCAAAAUAACUACGUAUGGUUUGGCAAUAUUAUCUUACUUUGCUUCAAGGAAUAUUUUUGCUUCUCACUUCACAAACUCUCGGGUGGAGUUAAAUAGGAGAUAAGCGAAUACGGUUGCUCACGCCCUUGCAGCACAUUAUCUGCUACUCCCACGACUUAUUUUGAAAUACCCUCGUGUUUUGAUACUCUUACUAUUUAUGAAAUGGUAUAAGCAUAUUUCUUCAAAAAACCAUAUAACAUUCUUAUAGGAAUUUAUUAUAGUUGCAAUGUUGUUGUUGUCGUUGUAAAAUAUAAGUAUAAUUUAUAUGAAAGUGCAAAAUAUCUAUACCUAUAAUUUUAAUCAAAAUCAAAAACAAUUUUAAUCAAAAUUCCAUAAAAAAUAUUAUUUGUAAUUUAUACGCAUUAACGAAAUAAAAAGAGCAGACAUACUAGCAUAGAGUGUGUCCGUCCGAACGCUGACUUUAUAUAUUUUUAGGAUUAAAUACAUUUUUCGUCUGUAUAAAUAUUCAAACUUUUUGUUUUAAUUUUUAUUAAAAAUUUCUUAUUCUUUUAGUCCUACAAAAUUUAUUCGUCAACUCUUCAAAUUUUUCAAUGAAUUUUUGCAUAUAUAUAUUCUUAAUGAGUGAAUAGGCUAUUUUGUCUUCAAAUUUGUUCGCAUUGAUCAUUUUUAUCCUCAAAUUUUUUGAAAUAGACAAUACGUCCUUGAAUGAGCCAUCUUCUCAUCCUAAAAAUAAAUUUUUUACUUUAGCGAUUCUCUUUUAAAUAGAUUUAUUUCCUAGUGAUUAUGUUUUAAUUCAAUAAGAUCGUUUCUUUACAUUUUAAGAAGUUUCAUUUUGAUCAAUAAGAUAUCUAUUCAAUAAAUCAAUUUCUGAUAUUAACCUAAGCUUAUUAUUUGAUCAAGGAUUAUCCAGAAAUUGAUUCGAAAUUUCCGGAAGAAUUAGGAGAUACUUGGAAUUUUCUUGAUCAUUAAAGAAAUUCUAACAAUGUAACUUUUAAUAGAGAUUAUGUGUAUCCUCUCCUCAUAAAAGGUUGGAAUACAAUAAAAGAAUUUUACAAAGGUCAAAAAGAAAUUUUGGCUAAAGGAUAUAUAUAGUCUCUAUUAAAAGUUACAUUAUGAGAAUUUCCCGAAUGAUCAAGGAAAUUCAAAGUAUCUCCUAAUUCUUCUUCAAAUUUUUUCAGAAAUUUCGAAUCAAUUUCAACAUAAUCCUUGAUCAAAUAAUAAGCUUAGGUUAAUAUCAGAAAUUGAUUUAUUGAAUCAAAUGUCUUAUUGAUCAAAAUUUCAAAAUGAAACUUCUUAAAAUGUUAAGAAACAAUCUUAGAGUUAAAACAUAAUCACUAAGAAAUAAACCUAAUUAAGAGAGAAUCACUAAACAAUAAAAGUAAAAAUUAUAUUUUUAGGAUGAGAAAAUUAUAUGAAAUUGUAAACAAGAAGAUUGCAUGUGAUCUAUGAUGUUACUAAUCAAAAGAGAAUCACCAAACAACAAAAGGCAAAAGAAUCUACUGGCCUUCUGAUGACAAUUCUGUUUGCAGCCAUGGUAGAGCAAUCGUUUUUAGUUUCUGUAUAUAAUGAAAGAAGGUAAUGAGGACUUUGUAUAUAACCUUCUUAUUUAUAGUAAGACAUAUACAUCUAAUUUUUUUUUUUUUUUAAAUAGCCUUAAUAGAGGAAAUAAAAGAAAUUUUCAAAUGUAUGAGAUUCCUUUUUUAUUGAAAACCGAUUUCAAUAGUGAGAUUCUUGACUGACUUUACUGUGCUUGUGUCUUUGAAUGGUGGUUUUCAACAGUGUGAUUACAUGCAUUGGCUUGUUAAAAAUAUGGUGGAUUGAAACUGAGUGAAUAUGUGAUCAGGCCGUUUAUGAGAUUUUGGUGGCCUAUGGUGAACCUAUAAUUUAGGUCAUAACUAAUAAACAUAUAUAAACAUCAAAUUUGAUAUAAAAAAUAAAGCAAUUUUUUUUAAGAUCUAAUAGACCCCUAAAAAAAAUUUAAGAUCCAAAUUUCGUAUUUAAGAUUUAGGAUAGUCGCCCUCUUCGUGCCUUAUGUAUGGUCCUAAAUGUGACUUUGAAUCUUUGUGUAGUAUGGCAGUAUGCAUUGGCUUGAUACAUGUGACUUUGAAUUCACUUACACAAACCGAGUGAAUUUUCUUAACAAAUUUAGUUCACUUACAUGCAUUGGCUUGAUACAACACUGCAUGAUAUUGUGUGAGAUAAGAUUAAACUCUCUAAUAACGCGGCCGAAUCUUUUAUCCUUGACAACUUUUAAGUUUUUAAUUUUUCAUCUCGAUUUACCUUAUUCUUAAUAUAGUUUUUGGGUUUAGUCGGUGUUUUUUAUUUGUAAUUUCUUUGUUUUUUUUUUUCUUUCUUUCGUACUGGUUUCCAACCUAUCAAUGGUGGACGACUAAUCCGACCCGUACGUAGAGACAUGUGUACUGCCCAAGCGUUGUUCCCCAUGAGAAUCGAACCUGGUAUUCCCAAGUACAUCCUUGGAAGGAGCUUCUUGCCACUAGAUUCCAAACAACUUGGCUGUAAAUUAAUCUAAUAUGGCUAUGCUUCUCAAGAAAUCUCCGUCUUGAAAAUGUUUCAGUAAACUUGGGCAUGUACUUUGAACAAUUGCAUCAAUGGGAUUUGUGAAAUCGGUUAUUAAAUGUACUUCCGGGAUCUCAAUACCACCGUAAGCAUCAUUUGCUUCACCUAUUGUUCGUGUCAUUCGAAAAAGAUAAGAAUUUAUUAUACUUGCAAUGUUGUUGUUGUUGUCAUUGUAAAAUAUAAGUAUAAUUUGUACAAUAUGAAAGUGAAAAAAUAUAUAUACCGAUAAUUUUAAUCAAAAUCAAAACAAUUUUAAUCAAAAUUCCAUAAAAAAGUACGGUUUAAAAUUUAUAUGCAUUAACGAAAUAAAAAGAGCACAGAGUACCCGUAUGAACACUGACUUUAUAUAUUUUUAGGAUUAAAUAUAUUACAUAUUCAAACUUUUUGUUUUAAUUUUUAUUAAAAAUUUCUUAUUCUUUUAGUCCUACAAAAUUUAUUCGUCAACUCUUCAAAUUUUUCAAUGAAUUUUUGCAUAUAUAUNNNNNNNNNNNNNNNNNNNNNNNNNNNNNNNNNNNNNNNNNNNNNNNNNNNNNNNNNNNNNNNNNNNNNNNNNNNNNNNNNNNNNNNNNNNNNNNNNNNNNNNNNNNNNNNNNNNNNNNNNNNNNNNNNNNNNNNNNNNNNNNNNNNNNNNNNNNNNNNNNNNNNNNNNNNNNNNNNNNNNNNNNNNNNNNNNNNNNNNNNNNNNNUUUUUCUUUUAUCUCAUUUAGGUAUGGACACAAUGGAGUGAAGACAAUAUUUUGUCUCUAAUAGAUCAAGAAAUAUAUGAUCAUAGUCAUCAUAAUUAUAUUUCAAGGUGCAUACAUAUAGGACUAUUGUGUGCACAAGAACUUGCCAAAGAUAGGCCCACUAUGGCUGCAGUAAUUUCUAUGCUUAACAGUGAAACUUCAUUACUUCCUCCUCCUAGUAAACCUGCAUUCAUCCUGAGGGAGAAUAUGUUAAAUUCAAAGUUAGCUGAAGAAUGUCAAAAUGGUUGUUCCGUCAAUAAUGUCAGUAUUACAGACAUCAGUGGCAGAUAGCACACAAAGUGGUCAUCAUAAUCUGGUUCAGCAUUUGACGUCUAAAGUUUCCUCCAAAAAUAAAAAAAUUAGUCUAGCCAAUAUAAAGGGAAUAAUAUUUUUAGCACAACACCUCGACUCUCGACAGAUUCUUUGGGUCAGCCCUUGACACCAGUAGCGGCUGACCUUCAGGCUAGUGGUUCGAUAUCUAUCCUUACUCAUCUUCGUAGCAACACCCUUAGCUCAGGCGCCUCCAAUGCAACAUUGAUGCCACUUUUUCAGGUCAGUUGAACUGUGCAUGUAGUGGCAUGUGCUUACGCGACGGAGACUGUGCUUUUGUUUUGGCUAGACCUAUGUGCUUUACUCGUUUGUGUUCUGUGGACGUCAGUGAAGCAUUGAGAUUAUUCCAUGCUUUAGAAUGACUUAGUGAUAUGGAGUUUGAUUGCGUGGAGUUCGUGCUCGACUCCAAAAUAACUACGUAUGGUUUGGCAAUAUUAUCUUACUUUGCUUCAAGGAAUAUUUUUGCUUCUCACUUCACAAACUCUCGGGUGGAGUUAAAUAGGAGAUAAGCGAAUACGGUUGCUCACGCCCUUGCAGCACAUUAUCUGCUACUCCCACGACUUAUUUUGAAAUACCCUCGUGUUUUGAUACUCUUACUAUUUAUGAAAUGGUAUAAGCAUAUUUCUUCAAAAAACCAUAUAACAUUCUUAUAGGAAUUUAUUAUAGUUGCAAUGUUGUUGUUGUCGUUGUAAAAUAUAAGUAUAAUUUAUAUGAAAGUGCAAAAUAUCUAUACCUAUAAUUUUAAUCAAAAUCAAAAACAAUUUUAAUCAAAAUUCCAUAAAAAAUAUUAUUUGUAAUUUAUACGCAUUAACGAAAUAAAAAGAGCAGACAUACUAGCAUAGAGUGUGUCCGUCCGAACGCUGACUUUAUAUAUUUUUAGGAUUAAAUACAUUUUUCGUCUGUAUAAAUAUUCAAACUUUUUGUUUUAAUUUUUAUUAAAAAUUUCUUAUUCUUUUAGUCCUACAAAAUUUAUUCGUCAACUCUUCAAAUUUUUCAAUGAAUUUUUGCAUAUAUAUUCUAAAUGAGUGAAUAGACUAUUUCGUCUUCAAAUUUGUAUGCAUUGGUCAUUUUCAUUCUCAAAUUUUUUGAAAUAGCCAAUACGUCCUUGAAUUAGCCAUCUUCUCAUCCUAAAAAUAAUUUUUUUUACUUUUAUUGUUUAGUGAUUCUCUUUUAAUUAGAUAUAUUUCUUAGUGAUUAUGUUUUAAUUCUAUAAGAUUGUUUCUUUACAUUUUAAGAAGUUUCAUUUUGAUCAAUAAGAUAUCUGAUAAAAUAUGAUUUCAAGCUCUUUGAUGGACCUUUCAGCCACUAAGUUCAUGUUUUCAAAGUAGAUGGUUAGGUCUUAAUGUUGCGAAUGAUUCUGUUUUGUAAUAACUGGAACCUCUAUAGUAUGCUUCCUUGCUUCUUGAAUCUAUGAACAAUAUUUCUAUUUUGCUUAUGUUCUGGUAUUUGUCUUUAUUUUCUCAAGUCUUUACUAUGCUUUUAUUACUCUAUACUAAAAUCUAUUUAUUCUCUUCUUUUUAGUUUAUAAACAUGUGAAUUUGACAGUUUAUCGUUUUAUAAAAGAAUGUGUCUAAGAGGCUAGCCUUUUCCAACACUGACGUGUUGCAACUAGUCACAAUCCCAAUAAGUUGUAUUAACUAGUCACAAUUCGAAUAAGUUGUAUUUUUCACUAAUUAUCCACAAAUGCAGUUUCUCGACAUUCUUUUAAUUUUACUCUCUUCGUCCCAAAUUAUAGUUGCUUUGGAGAAAAAACUUGUCUCAAAUUAUGAGUCGUUUUACAAUACAAAUGAAGCAUUAAAUCCUACUUUUUCUACUAUAUCCUCAACUAUUUAUUACUACCACUUCUUUCAAUUUUUAAUUUAUCUUUUCACAUAUCAUUAAUGAAGGAUAAUUUUGUAAAAUUACUUAGAAUUUCUCUUUCGCAGACAACAUUAAUUAUGUUUUUUAAUUUAUGUAAAAUAUCUAAAACAUCAUUUAAUUUGGGACGGAUGAAGUAUCAUUAUUUGACAGUAUCGCUGAUUAAAUUAAUAAAUAAGAUAAAUAAUUCAGAGACCGUUUCGUGUAACAAUUUGUAAUAACUUUUGUUUUAAACAAAAAAACAAAAAAAAAAAAGACAUUUUUUUGAUCAAAUUCGUCCCUCACGUGGAAGUUGACUUGAAACUCCACAUCAACGUUUAACGUGUUAUGUCCGCAUUAAGGCUGUGUUUGGCUAGGAAAAGAAAGUGAAAGUGAAAGUGAAAGGAAAGAAACAAAAAGGAAAGAUAGAGUAAGGAAAGAUAGUGAGUAGAAAGAGAGAUGAUUGUUUUAGUUGUUUGGAAUGAGAGAAAAUGAAAGGAAAGAAAGAUUAAAACUUUCUCUCCCCUUGCAUGGUUCAUUAGAAAGUUGAAAGGAAAGAAAAGUAUAUAUUUAUGAAAUGACAAAAAUAUCCUCAAGUAAAAAAUAAAAUGGUAUAAAGAAUAAAAUUGGAAAGCAAAAUAGUAAAAUUAUGAACAGUUCCUUUAACAAAUAAAUAUACACUUAAGCAUCAUUUUAUCUUCCUAUUUAGUUUUUAUUAAAGUUAUGUAAGCUUAUUAUUAUCCAAAAAAAAAUUACCUUUUGAAGUUCAAAUUCUACUAUAAAUAUCAAGUUUGAUGGACUAAUAUUGAAGCAACUUCAUUCUACUAUAAAUAUUGAUUUUGAGUAGUAAUUCAUACAUGGCCAAUGUCAUUACACUUCCUAGUGCAAAUUCAACACAAGUUCAAGAUCAAAGUUCUUUGACUAAACUACCACAAAACUGCAAAUUUGUGGACAUUGAACUUCUCUACAUUUGUGUUGAUAAUACCAAUCCUCAUUUUUCCUUUAGCACCUUGUCAUGGAUCUACAAUCAUAACCACUGCCUAAGAUUCAAAGCCCUGCAUGACACAAUGCAUAUGUAUGAGCAAGUUAUUUGUAACUACUAAAAAGAACAAAAAUAAUAGUAGUGAAUGUUGAAUUUAAUUUUAACUAGAAGGCCAUAUUUUUUUAAUCAGCAAUUUUAUUUAAUACUCCCUAUCAAAGAUAGCAGCUAUAAAAAAAAAAAAAAAAAAGUGUCAUGAACCCACUAUAAAGCUGAUGCCAUAUUCUAUGACAUAUCCCACAAGGUCAUGUGCAACAAGAAGAGAAUCAAUUUGAUUAUACCAAGCUGGAUAAUUGGAAGAGUUAAGUUUGAUGGGAAGGUGAGUGGAGGUAUUGAAUUCCAAUAAUUCAUUUGGUUCUUUGGUAACAGUGGCCGUGUAACGCCCUAUUUUAUUAUUUAUUUAUUUUAUUGAGUUUAGAUGUCUUUUUAUAAUUUAGUCGAUUUUUUUUUAUAAGUGAUAUUUUGUUAUGAUAUAUGUUGGUAUUUAUUAGUAUAAUAUAUAUGUUAUUUGAUGUAGAAAUAAAUAUAUUUGUUAUUUGGUGUAGAAAUAUAUAUGUUAUCUGGUGUAAAAAUAUAUUUGUUAUUUGUUAUAGAAAUAUUAUAUAUAUAUAUAUAUAUAUAUAUAUAUAUAUAUAUAUAUAUAUAUAUAUAUAUAUAUAUAUAUAUAUAUAUUAAAAUAUAAUAUUGAGACUUUGAUGACAGAUUUGAAAAUAAGAGAAAAUAAGUAGGUUAAGGAUUUAUAUAAAAAUGGGAGAGUUAAAAUUAGAAAAUAGGGAUUACGUGAAACCUAUUUUUGGAGAAAAAGGGAGAACACCAAGAGAAGAGAAAAGUCAGAGGAGAGAAAGCGGUCGAUCAAUCUAAGGUAAGGGUAGGACUAGCUUUCUCUAAUAAUGAGUUGUAUAAUUCUGAAAAAGGGUUUAACAUUGUAGUUGUUAUUAGUUUUAAUGUUAUAGAAAUUAGGAUUAGAUUUCAUUCAUUCAUAAUCUUUUGUAUAAUCUAUUUUUCUACUUCUACCCAUAAGUGCCUAUUUGUAUAAAGUGAUUAUUGUGGAUUUAAUUAGUGAAAUUUGUGCUUAUGUUUUGAUGCAAUGUUUGAGGUAUGUGAAUUUGAUGUUAAUUAAGCUGUUGAUGAUGAAUUUAUAUGCUCAAGUUAUGUAUAUAUGUAUACUUGUGUUUUUGCUCAAAAUUGGUGAAGUAUGAUGUUGUUUUUUAUGAUUUUUUAAAAUAAUGUUUUGGGUCAAGUUUUUGGUGAAGUAUAAUCUCUUUAGACAAACUUUGGGAUCAAAUUUAGGCAUAGGGAAGUUAAAAUUGGAAUUUUGGGGUGAAAAAUGGGUUUUUCCCGAGUUGCUCUCUGACAGUAGACCCUGUUUCAUGUUCUUGCGUCUUUUUCACAUGUUUCUGUUUUGAAUUGGCCUUUGGUGUAAACGUGAUAAUUGUAUUAGCUUUCCAGUGGUUUUGGUUUGACGUGAAAAUGAUUUUUGGUUUUUGAGUUAUGAUGAAAAUACUCCAAUGAGGUCUUAGUAAAAUUUUACGAAAAUUCCGCAUAACUAUUUCUAAGUCAACCCAAAAUUUAUGGAUUGUCUCCAAACUUCAAAGCUUUUGUACUAUGAGUUCAAUUAAGAUGUUUAAGAGUAUUUAACCUAUGUUGUGAUGAAUCUAUCUUGGUUUGACAUAAAUAUCUUUGAUUGAUGAAUUAUUAUAUGAAUGUAUAUGUUGAUGAGUAUGAUGUUAUAUGAUGUUGUUCAUGAUUGAUGAAUUAUUAUAUUAAUGUAUAUGUUGAUGAACAUGAUAUUAUAUGAUGUUGUUCAUAAUUAAUGAAUUACUAUAUGAAUGUAUAUGUUGAUAAAUAUGAUGAUGUUGUUAAUGAAUUAUUCUAUGAAUAUAUAUGUUGAUAAAUAUGAUGUUAUAUGAUGUUGUUAAUGCUUGACGAAUUAUUAUAUGAAUGUAGAUGUUGAUGAAUAUGAUGUUCUUCAUAAUUAAUGAAUUGUUAUAUGAAUGUAUAUGUUGAUAAAUAUGAUGUUAUGUGAUGUUGUUCAUAAUUAAUGAAUUACUAUAUGAAUGUAUAAAUUGAUGAAUUAUGAUAUUAUGAUGCAAAUUUGUUGUUCAUAUCAUUCAAGUUUGUUGUGAUUAAUGUUGCUAUGUUGCAAGUUGUUGUCAAAUGUCGCCAAGUUGUAAGUUGUUGUAUUAAGUUGUUGAAUUCGUCUAAGUUGUCGAAGCUGUCUAAGUUGUUUAAGUUGUUGGUUGUUGAGUCCAUGAAUACUCAUUAAAAGUUGAGAGCUUGAUGCUCUGAAAUGUAUAAUUAUACAUAUUAAGUUGAGGGUUUGAUGAUCUAUGACCCUAUUUAUGCUCUAUACAUUGAGGGCUUGAUGCUCUGUAAGUUGAGGGUUUGAUGCACUGUGAGCCUAUUUAUGCUCUAUACGUUGGGGACUUGAUGCCCUGAUUUGUACCACAUGCAUGAUUAAGAAGUUGUAGUUGCAUUGUCAAGAUGAUUAAGAUGUCUAAGUCGCAUGGUCGAGUUGAUGUCGAUGUCGUUGCAUUGUCGUUGUUGUCAAGUUUUCGAUUACUAAUGAGUUGUUAAUGAGAAACUAUGUGAAUUAUCAAUAUUAUUUAUUGUUGUUGUUUAUGUUGUUUACGUGAAUCAUUGUUGAUGAUGAUUUGAAGUUGAUUGAUGAUUUAUAGUUUGAAUUAUGUGAGGCAUUAACAUUGUUUAAUUGUUGUUGUUUAUGUAGAUAAAUUUUCUCACUUAGAUUUGUUUAUUAGUUUUACUAAUGAUGAAUAAAUGUUGUUAUGUGUUGUUAAAUUUUUCAAAGAAUUAUAUGCUUAAUAUUAUUGAAUGUGAAAUCUCACCCCUUCUGCUUAGAAACUGUUGCCUUUGCAUGGGUAACUUGCAGGUAACCAGGAUUAGCUGUUGAUGUGAGUUGACUCUCUCACGCGUCGUCUUAGGGUCGCUCUGAUACGUAACGGGAUGGGGAUAUUUGUAUUUUUUUCCAUUUGUUACGUAUUAUUAUGAAUUAUGUUGAUGAACCAAUUGAAUGAAAUUUUAAUAAGUUGUUUAUGUUGAGGCCGUUGUGCCAUUACGUUGAAUAAGAAAUGUUUUCCGCUGCGAUGUAAUUUAAAUUAUUGAUAAAAGAUAUUUUGAAUAAAUAGUAAUUUUACUCUAUUUAUAUUUUAAAGUUGUGUGACAUCCUAUUUAGUUGAUUACUCUGAUGUUUAUGCAAAAAUUUUAAAGUUGGAAAAACAGGGUGUUACAGGCUGCACGAAGCAAAAGCACACCCGCUGAACCUAACCAACAGACCCCAAAAAACCACCCUCAAGUGAGCAGCAAAACGCAGCUGCUUAUGGAACAAUGCACAACAGAGAAAUCUACUUAUGUUACAACAAAACAGGAAAAUAAUUUCUACACCAAAAUAGCAGCAGCUCCGCACUCCUGUCAUAACCGUCCGAACAGUAGCCACCAAAGGCCGCUAUAAACAACGUCAAUCUAUUACCUCAUCAAAUAAUCUCGUGGACACCAACACCACUCGUAGAAAAUACAAGCUGGAUUGUUGAAUCUACCUAACAACCACCUUCAAGACAUUACUUUUAGUCAAAGAACUUUGAUUUUGACUUGAUAGUUAAGGUAAUGCACAAUCUAUACCAUAUAGCAGCUUUGUUGUAUAGACAAUUUAGUCAAAUACUAUGAAUUCUAAGGUAAUUCACUGUCUAUACCAUAUACCAUCAGUUAAAAAAACAGACUGCAUCAUCCAAGUUUGGCAGCAACAAAAAACUCCAGCAUAAAAACAGAAAAAUAAAACACAAUGCUACAGGUCCGUCGUAGCAUCAUAAACACAGUGAUAAAGAUCAAUUAUUUGCAAUUCAAAUAGUAAUAUAAUGAAAUGAGCAUUGGUUGCCAAUUUUUUUUGGAUCAAUACUGGUUGCCAAUUGAUCAUAUAUUCCACCUUAAUAGUAAGUUCAAUAAGCAAGUAAAUGGUUUUCUUCAAUUAACAUAGAUAGCAUAUCAUAUUUAUCAUAGUAGAUGUAUCCUUUGGAGUGCAUACAACCUUGCACCAAAGUGUGUAGAAGGUACAUCCCUACUAGAAUGUUGGACAAGAAAUUCAUCUUCUAAUGAGAUGAUGGCUCGUAAAACAUUGUGAAAGUGACGGCUGACAGUUUCACCGGAACGGUGGAAAAAGAAUGACACAAUACGAUUUUUCACAUUAUGACCAAUGAUGUGUAGAAAUUUAGCAGCUUGCUCUUUAACUGUGAAUCGUAUUGUAUCCUUCACAAUACCAGUUCCUCUCAAUUUAUGACACAACAACAUGAAUGCCUCAGGUCCCAUUCGUAUUAUGUCGCUGCAUUUUUCAGUUUCUACUAGUUGUCUCAUUAAAUCAAUAUGCCUACGCUCUCUCUCAUGACUUCCAUGACUAAUAGGAUUACGCCAACGUGACAUUAUGUUAAGCAUGUGUAAGGUAUGAACAAUAUAACACAAUAUAGGACCACAAAAUAAAGAUGUUGUUGCCUUUCGAAUCGAUGUCGAAAUUGACAUAAAUUUAACAUGCCAAGAUUAGUCGAAGGUUUUAUUUUAGAAUGUACUUCUUUUAUACCAUGAGAUUCAUCACCAGACUUAUCUUCCUCAUUAAUAAAAGAAUCCAUGUCACAAAGUGGAAUGUUAACCUUCAAUCAGAGUAUAAAAUCAAUUGAUGAAACAAAUAAUUUGACAUUAGAAAAUCCCUAAAUAAUUCCCUCACAAAUCAAAAGAUUUGGAGAGUUUAGAAUUUAAUUUGUAAUAUUUUGUAACAAACAAUCAUAAGUAGUGCAAUUAAGAGUUGAUAUAUUUAAAGGGGAAAAAACACACAUAUUUAACUUUUAAAUGAUUUUUAUGUAGAAAUAAUUUUUUUAACACUUGAUUUACGAGUUAAAGACUCUUGAUGCUAUACACAAGUUUUCCAUAAUGCAUAUUUAUCUCCCCUGCAAUCUCUAUUAAAACAAGAAUCUAGAGUUCAUUUUGUUUUUAGAUAAACAAAUCACUUUAUUAAGAAAAAUCAUCCAGCUUAGCAUAAACAGAUAGCAUCAUCACACACAUACCAAACAAUUGAAAGAAAAAACACUCAUAACCUAAGAACACACAAAAUCACUACCUAAAGACAAUAACACAUGACAGAUGACAAAAUAUCAACUCCAACUAUGUUGCAGCCAACAAACUGCAUAGCGUUCUGGUGUCUGCAGUGGCAGCCCUGCUGCUGUUAUAUGUUUUGCAGUUGUUUGCUAUCAUAUAUGUUUUAGGUGUGAUUGAGGCAGCUGGCUUUUUUAUGGUGUGUUUUUAAUUGUUUGGUUAGGUGCAGCUGCGUUGGUUUUGUAUGUUUAGCUGUGUAGUGUGGUCACUAGAUUGCAAUUGUGGUCUCUAUCCCUGAACUCUCAUACGAUGGGGUUUGUUUUGUUUCUUUUCAGCUACUUUCUUCUCUUAUUGAGAGUUUGGAAGCUUAAAUAAUAUUGGCUUUUCAAAAAAAAAAAGUAGGAUCAAACUUUCUUCAUUUCGUAAAUGAAAUCCUUAACACCCAUCACUCAGAUUCAUUUGAGUCUUUUAAGCCAAUUGAUGUCCCAAACAUCAGCCUCAUCUCUAACAAUGAAAUCCUUAACACACAACCUAUAUCUGCAGCUCCCGGCUUCCCUUUCAACGAUCCAUCCACAUUCCAUUACCAAACAUUUUGUGGAGGGGGACACCAUAUUGCUGACAAUCUAUUUCCAUGUUUUAAUCUCUUGAAUUUUAUACAAAUGGACCACGUGAUACACAUAUUCUAUGAAAGGUUUGAGACUUGAGAGACCACCUACCUAAUCCCCAACACGACAUCACAUUGGUAUCAGGCUGCCAUGACAACUUCUGAUAACACACUAGAACACUACCUAUAACAAAUCUUAGGCCUAAAAACAUUCAUAACCCCAUUCUAAGUUUGAUUAAAAAAACUCCAAAACAACAACAAUGUCUUGUUUUAUGUUGCCUUCCCAACAUCCAUAAUUUACCCAAACUGAAACCAACAUGACUUAAUAUACCCAAAUUGAAGGGGAAAAAAGUAAAAAAAAAUAGUCACCUAAAUCAGAUUUUCUAUGAAACCUAGAACACAAAUUAUUUUUUCUCACUUCAUCCGAAAAGCAUUUCAAAGUAUAAUAAAAUGAGGGGAGAAAACAUACAAGGAAUAAAAUUUCAUCAAAACAAAAUAAAUCUCAUGCAUAGAAGAUAAUGAAAAAAAAAACAUACUUAAUUCAAAAUCAAAAUUUUCAAUAAAUAAAGGAAUACCUAAAUGGAAGGGGAAAAAACACAUGAAAAAGAAGAGAGUUAGAAAAGUACCUUACAAAACAAUGAGGUCAAGAUUGAUAGCAAAGAAAAAUGGAGGCAGUGCAACAAUUUGGAUUAAGCAGAUGGCAGAGAAGAAACCAUUGAAAGAGAAAAUAGUGAACCCUCUUCUUUGUUAAAUGGGAGAAGCUACGAUUAUAUUUAAUUAUUGUAUUAGGGGCACUUUUGUCUUUUUGCUCAAAAAUUGAGUCCAUUCUCCCACUUUCAGUCCAAUUGAGCGUGGAAAGGAUUUUUUGGUGGGCCCCAACCAAAACUUUCUUUCCUUGACCUUUUUAUAUUUGUUCAAAACCAUGGAAACACAAUCCUUCCAUCCUCUUUACCUCCCUUCACUAUCUUUCCUUUAUCUCUCACCGGAAACAAACACAGCCUAAGAGAUGAAAUUGAUUGAUGCGUACAAAUUUGGGAACGAAAUAACUAUUUAAUUUAUUUUAGAUAAUCAAAUUUAAAUAUGAAUUUUUAAAGUCAAAAUCAUAAAAAUUAUGGAGAAGGUUAGAACAGAACUUCACUUUUUUUUUUCUUUUUUUUUUUCUUUAUCCCUUCGUGUUACUGUGCCCAACAACACUGAAAAACCGAAAUUUUCCUUCCUCCACAGUUUGACACUUCUACUGCUUUAACAAUGACGACGGGUAGAGCACUCAACAAACACGAUCGUACUUAUUUAUAUAAGCUUUGUUCAAUAGCUUACCAACAUGUGAUGAACUUUUUCUAUAAGUUCUUCCGAAUAAGUGCUUAAGAUAAGAGCAUGUUUGGAUAAACAACUUAUUUGUAGCUUAUAACACAAUAAAUGCUUAUGUACAUGCUUGCAUAAGCUAUAUUUUUAUAGCAAAAGAUAAAAUAAUGUUAAAUUGUUUUUGUAAUUGCUAUAAGUUGUUUUACUAAGCUGUAUUGGAGAAUAUAUGAAAAUAAAUUGAAAAAAGCUGUUGUCAUAAGUUCUCCCAAACAGUUUCACAAAACUACGAGUAGAUAAGCUCAAAUAAACCGGUCGAAAGAGGCCCUUGUUAUACCGUUGUAACUGUGUUUAUCAAUCGAAAUAUGCUUCAAGGAUGGUUGAAAAUGUUGUCAAGGAAGGAUAGAUAAAUGGUUUGUAAGGCUCAUUGAAGAAGAGUAGGGAAAUUUUCACAAGGUAAAACUGUCUAUAAAAUGGUUGUUUUGCAAUAUUUUGUUUACAGUUUAUUCUAUUAAGCAAGUGAGUUUAUAACCUGCUGUAGCAAGUCAAACCUGCAGUGCACGUACGGUGUUGUGCACCCUUGUUUCCAUCUAUUCUGUCACUUUGUUUCAUGAAAAUGAUACCAUUUUUGUUUGAAUGAAUAGGUUAAUCGGUCCUCGACAUUUUGUGCAUCAAUCAAAAUUGUCUAUGUUUUACAAAUCGGCAUAUACGUUCCUAAAACUGGAAUGCGUUAGUCAAAAUGGUCCCUCUGUUACCUUCUGUUGUUAGAGGUUAUGUCGUAACUCUUUGAAUGGAAAUGUGACCUUUAACAGGGAUCACACAUCAAUAGAAACUUAUGUGGUACAUUAAAUUCAUCCAUUUCACGCCAAUUGUGAGUUUACAACCUCAGGAUUCAAAAACAUAAAAUAAUAUUUACCACAUAAAUUUUAUGUACAGUUUUAGUCUCUCUUGAUGUAGAAUUGAUUUUGGAUCCACGUGGAAGGCCACAUGUUUAUUUAAUGUGUCACAUCAUAACCUAUAACCGCAGAAGAUAAUGGAUAGACUGUUUUGUCUCACAAAUUUUAGUUUAAGAGAUGUAUUUGCCAAAUUCAUGGACUAUUUUUGAGUUUUGACAGAUACUCACAAUUUCGAGGAUCAAUUUACCUAUUAAUUUUUACUUUUAUUGUUUAUAAAGUUGUUGAUUGUUUUAUGAUUAAACUGAUUAACCAUUUUAUAUUUAACUAGAUGAGGUUGAUUUUGAUGUAAAAAAUAAAUGAUUCAAAGUUAUAGGUUUUGAAAGAAUUAGACAACUGGUAUUAUUUUAACUGUUAUGUGAGGGACUUGCCUAAGGAAAAUAUGAACACAUGAAUGGUUCUCAUAGAUGUGAGAGGAUACAAGUUGACUUAAUGUAAUAAAAAAGAGAAGGAAGGGAGAAAAAGUUAAAUGUGAUAACCUUAUUAAUUUUGUAACUAGGAAGUACUAAAUAAAAUUGACUUUUCUUAAAAAAAAUAUUUUUUUUUGACUAUUAGACUGAGAUCAAAGGGCCAACAUGAGCUACUUUGCACAGAUAAUCCAAAAUAUCAUAGAUGGUAGAUCUCCUUCUUCCAAAAUAUCAUAUCUAAUGGUGCAGCACACCUUAGUAAAUAACAAGCCUAGCUCGAGCUAAAAAAAGAGUUCGUGUCGAACUCGAGCCGAGUUUUAAGCUGAACCAAUUCUUAUCGAGUCGAGUCGAGCUCAGACGAAUUCGAGUCGGCUCGACUCAUUACCAGCCCUAUAUAUGUAUUGCAUCGUAUCUAAUGGUGCAGUACACCUUAGUAAGACUACACCAACAUAUGUAUGUGUUGUCUAUCUAAAAAUACUCUAAAGGCAAAUCGAUCAAAAUCACUACCAUAGUUGGUUUCAGUUUUGAAGAAUAAUUGAAUUAGACUUAAAUUCAACUCACCCACUUAACCUUCAAGAUAUUUUAACUAGAAUCAAUUUUAUAUUGAAUUAAUUCAUUCAAAAUCAUAUUCUUGUUGCAGAAUUAAACGCACACGAUAUCAUCUUGCUUAUAAUUGAAAGACAAUGUAUCAACGAAACUGAAGAUUAUAUUGCAUUGCAUUUAUUAUUUUUUUUUAAAUUGCAUUUCAUUUACAUUUACUUAUUGUUAUACCAUUGUAAUUUUUUAUAUUAAUCUAGAGAUGAUUCCAAGAAUGGUUGAAGAUGCUUUCAAAGCUGAAUAUUUUUUUUUUGUUGAAAGACACAUGCAAAUGGAUUUUAAGGUUAGUUGAAGAAGUGGAAAAUUUUCACAAUGCAAUUGAUUUAUAAUUAUAUAAGGACCAUAGGACUGAGAUUGAUCAACAUUAUUUGAUCAUUUAAUUUUUUUUACAGGAGUAUAUUUGUUCUCAAAUUUGUGGUUUAAAGUAUGUUACAGUGUCAAUGUUGUGCUUUAUGAUGGUACUGUUUGUCUGUUUGUGAAGUUAAUUGAAUUUGUAAUAAGAAGGAAUAUACUUUUUGAUUACCUAUGAUUUUUUAUUUUUUUAUUUGGUCAAACUCAAAGUUUUAGUUUAUGAUGGAUGGUAUUGAAAUGCCUUCUGAAACCAUGGCCUGCUAACUUAACUCCUUAAUUGGAGUGAAUAUGUAUAUUUUUAGCUAUGAUGUUCAUUGCUGAAUUCCUUCUGCUAUUGACCUUUGAACCAAUCUAAUCUCAAAAUAAAUAAAUAGAGUAAAUUACACUUCCCUCUCCUCAAAGAUGCUGGAAUUACACUUCCCUCCCCUCUUAUGUUAAAAUAUACACUUCCCUCCCCUCUUAUUCAAAACAUUUUAAAAAAUAUUUCACUCCCCUUCCUUGAGAGAAGCUUGAAUUACAUUCCCCUCCCCUCUUACGUUAAAAUCUACUCUUUACUCCCUCAAUAUUUUUUUUUUACUUCUAAUAAUCUAGCAAAAGAAAAAAUAGUCUAACACACUUUGAAAAAAAUAGUAUUAGAGGUUCAUUUAAAUAUAAUCAAAAUUUGAAUACAUAUUUUUCGCUAUUUUUUAUUCACAAUUUCAUUAACUUGUAGUUUUAAACCCUAUUAUAAAAUAUGAAACAACUCAAAAUAAAAUUAAAAUAUGUGAAAAAUAACUAAAUUAUAAAAAAAACAAAUUUAUGUUUUUUAAAUCGUGAUUCAAAAUUAGUAUAUAUUAUAAAAAUAUUUAUUUAUAUUAAAAUAGAUUAAAGUGUAGUGUAUAUUUAAUUAUUAAGGGAGGGGGUUGAAAUUCAAGCAUCUCACAAGGGAGGGGAGUAUCAAAUUUACUUUUCAAGGGAGGGGAGUGUAUAUUUUAACAUAAGAGGGGAUGAGAGUGUAAUUCAAGCAUCUUUGAGGGGAUGAGAGUGUAAUUCAAGCAUCUUUGAGGGGAGGGGAAUAUAAUUUACUCAAAUAAAUAUGAAAGCAGAAAAUACUUUUAUAGAGGGAAGGAAAAAAAAAAAUUAUUGAUAACGUUAUUCUAGUGUAACUUUUGAUCCUAUACUAAUAAUCUCUCUUAUGGAUUUUAGCUACUGUGCAUAUCUGUUUUCUGUUGUAUUCAUUUUGUGUUGCUAUUUGGUACAUGUUAGUGUUGGUAUAGACACCAUCACAUCAUCUCAAUUUAUCAAAGACCCUGAAACUCUAAUCUCCAAAGAUGGUAACUUCACCUUUGGAUUCUUUAGCCCUAAAAAUUCUACAAACCGCUACGUUGGAAUUUGGUGGAAGUCUCAAUCUACAAUCAUAUGGGUUGCAAACAGAAACAAACUACUGAAUGAUUCUAAUGGGAUUGUCACAAUAUCUGAACAUGGAAAUCUUGUGGUAUUAAAUGGACAGAAACAAGUUGUUUGGUCAUCAAAUGUUUCCAACAUAACAACAAAUACAAGUUCUCACUUUUCGGGUUUCGGUAACCUUGUGCUUCUGGAGAACACAACCGGAAACAUUUUAUGGCAGAGUAUUCAGCAGCCUUCAGAUACAUUCCUUCCAAACAUGAAAGUUUCAAUCAACAAAAGAACGGGUAAGAGUUUAAAACUCACAUCAUGGAAAAGCCCUUCUGACCCCUCUGUUGGCAACUUCUCUUGUAAUAGCGUUGAACGCCAAAAUAUAUUUGAAGUGUUUAUUUGGAAUGAAACUCGACCAUGUUGGCGCAGUGGUCCUUGGAACCGUGGGGUCUUUACAGGGAUACAAACAAUGAAAGCUGCAUAUCUUAAUAGUUUUCAAGGUGAAGAUGAUGGAGAAGGAAAUAUUGUUAUAUUUUAUACGUUAGCAAAUGAUAGGGAAAUAACGAUCUAUCACCUGAAUUCACAAGGAAUAUUCGAAGAAAUAUGGUGGGAUGAUAAGAAUAAAGAAAUGAAAGUGACAUGGAAAAGCCAAAACACAGAAUGUGAUGUUUAUGGUCUCUGUGGAGAAUUUACAAGCUGUAAUUCAUUGAGCUCACCGGUAUGCAGUUGUUUGAAAGGAUUUGAACCCAGAAAUACUCGUGAAUGGAGUAGAAACAACUGGACUGGCGGGUGUGUUAGGCGGAGACCUUUGCAGUGUGAAAGGAUCAGCAAUAAAACUACAGGGUUUUUCAAACUACAGAUGGUUAAAGUUCCAGAUUUUGCUGAAGGUUUAGCAGUUGCACCUGACAAAUGCAAAAUCUUAUGUUUGGAGAAUUGCUCUUGUGUUGCGUAUUCUCAUCAUGAUGUGAUUGGCUGUAUGUCUUGGACCCGAAAUCUACUUGACAUACAACAAUUCCAAAGUGGAGGACUUGACCUAUAUAUUCGUCUAUCCUAUGUAGAACCGAAUUUGUACAAGACAAUCUUCAUCGCAAGUACAGUGAUAAUUGCAACUCUUAUUAUCGUCAUUUGUGCAUAUAUCACGUGGAGAAGGUCAUCAAACCACCCAGGUAACUUACUAUUUUCGUAUAUUCAACUUAGGUCAUAAAAUUUACCUUAUAUUGAUGAGGAACUAAGCUCAAGUUAUGCUUUUCACUGCAGCUAAUUCUAGUGACAACAUAAUUGGAGAAAUGUCCCAAGAUAAACUACAAGAGUUAUUAAAAUUUGAUUUUCAAAAAGUUGCAACUGCCACAAACAACUUUGACUUGUCAAAUAAACUUGGUCAGGGUGGUUUUGGUCCCGUAUACAAGGUACCUUACAUGUAACAAAGUUAUAAUAUUUUAAAACCAUUGUGGAUAGUUGUUUUCACAUAAUAUUUUCUUCUAGGGGAAACUGCAAGAUGGUCGAGAAAUAGCAGUUAAAAGGCUUUCUAGAGCAUCUGGACAAGGGUUGGAUGAAUUCAUGAACGAAAUAGUGGUGAUUUGUAAGCUUCAACACCGUAAUCUUGUAAGACUUAUUGGCUGUUGUGUUGAAGGUGAUGAAAAGAUGUUGAUGUAUGAGUAUAUGCCAAACAAAAGUUUGGAUGCAUUCAUCUUUGGUUAGUUUUUUUAAUCCCCCUUUAGCAUUUUCAUAUAUAAAAUUCCCUACUUAAUUUCAUUCUUCUCUUUAUUUUAGUUUUUCUGGAAGCACGCUAAUAGAGUAAUUUUGACGACUUUCCUUUAUAUUUUGUUAAUCUAUUCUAAAUAAUAUAAUGCUACCCUUAUUUUUUAGAUCCAUCAAAAAACAAACUCCUGGAUUGGAGGACACGGCAUAACAUUAUAGAAGGAAUUGCUCGAGGGUUGCUAUAUCUUCACAGAGAUUCUAGGCUAAGAAUUAUUCAUAGAGAUUUGAAGGCAAGUAAUGUUCUGUUAGAUGAGGAGUUGAAUCCAAAAAUAUCAGACUUUGGUAUGGCUAGAAUCUUUGGAGGAGGUGAAGAUCAGGCCAAUACUAGAAGGAUUGUCGGAACUUAGUAAGAUUGCCUUUAUAUCUAAUAUAUUAGUAGUAAUAAUUGUAAAGUAUUAUUUAGCAACUUGAUUAAUUUUUUACAUUUUAUAGUGGUUACAUGUCUCCCGAAUAUGCAAUGCAAGGAUUAUUUUCAGAGAAGUCAGAUGUUUUUAGCUUUGGUGUAUUGCUACUAGAGAUUGUUAUCGGGAGAAGAAACUCAAGUUUUUAUGAUGAUGAGCAUAAUCUUAGUCUUUUAGGAUUUGUAAGCCUCAACAAACCAUUUUUAGCUCAAUUAUUGACUGUUUUUCUUCUUUUGUUACACACCAUUCAAAUGUCUGAUUAUUUCUUUCCUUUUUUCUUUUAUCUCAUUUAGGUAUGGACACAAUGGAGUGAAGACAAUAUUUUGUCUCUAAUAGAUCAAGAAAUAUAUGAUCAUAGUCAUCAUAAUUAUAUUUCAAGGUGCAUACAUAUUGGACUAUUGUGUGCACAAGAACUUGCCAAAGAUAGGCCCGCUAUGGCUGCAGUAAUUUCUAUGCUUAACAGUGAAACUGCAUCACUUCCUCCUCCUAGUAAACCUGCAUUCAUCCUGAGGGAGAGUAUGUUAAAUUCAAAGUUGCCCGAAGAAUGUCAAAAUGGCUGCUCCAUCAAUAAUGUCAGUAUUACAGACAUCAGUGGCAGAUAGCACACAAAGAGGUCAUCAUAAUCUGGUUCAGCAUUUGAUGUCUAAAGCUUCCUCCAAAAAUAAAAAAAUUACUCUAGAGUAUAUAAAGGGAAUAAAAAAUUUAGCACAACAACACGUCGACUCUUAGCAGAUUCUUUGGGGUCAGCCCUUCAAGCUAGUGGUUUGAUAUCUAUCCUAGCUCAUCUUCGAUUCCAACACCCUCAGCGCAGACACCUCCAAUGCAACAUUGAUGCCGCUUUUUCAGGUCAGUUGAACAGUACAUGCAGUGGCAUGUGCUUACGCGACGAAGACCGUGCUUUUGUUUUGGCCAGAAUUAUGUGCUUUACUCGUUUGUGUUCUGUGGACGACGAUGAAGCAUUAGGAUUAUUCCAUGCUUUAGAUUGACUUAGUGUUAUGGAGUUUGAUUGCGUCAACUUCGUGCUCGACUCCAAAAUAACUACGUAUUGUUUGGCAAUAUUAUCUUACUUUGCUUCAAGGAAUAUUUUUGCUUUUCACUUCACAAACUCUCGGGUGGAGUUUAAUAGGAGAUAAGCGAAUACGGUUUUGCUUACGCCCUUGCAGAGCAACCACAUUAUCAGCUACUCCCACGACUUAUUUUAAAAUACCCUCGUGUAUUGAUACUCUUACUAUUUAUGAAAUGGUAUAAGCAUCUUUCUUAAAAAAACCAUAUAACAUUCUUAUAAGAAAAUUUGUUUAAAGGUAUAAAUGGAAUACAUGGGUUUAGUGACUUUAUCACUUCUAGUUAUACUCUUAAUUCUUAAACAAAUUUGCAUAAAAAAAUGCUAUAUUUUGCUGUCAUUAAAAAAAAAAAAAGAAUUUAUAUGAUAUUUAAUAUAUUGUUGGUGUCAUUAAAAAAAGAUAAGAAUUUAUUAUACUUGCAAUGUUGUUGUUGUCAUUGUAAAAUAUAAGUAUAAUGUGUACAAUAUGAAAGUGCAAAAUAUCUAUACUUAUACUUUUAAUCAAAAUGAAAACAAUUUUCAUCAAAAUUCCAUAAAAAAUACGGUUUGUAAUUUACACGCAUUAACGAAAUAAAAAGAGCUGACAGACUAGCACAGAGUGUCCGUCUUAACGUUGACUUUAUAUAUUUUUAGGAUUAAAUAUAUUUUCCAUUGGUAUAAAUAUUCAAACUUUUUGUUUUAAUUUUUAUUGAAAAUUUCUUAUUCUUUUAGUCCUACAAAAUUUAUUUGUAAACUCUUCAAAUUUUUCAAUGAUUUUUUGCAUAAAUAUUCUAAAUGAGUGAAUAGGCUAUUUCGUCAUCUAAUUUGUACGCAUUGGUCAUUUUCAUUUGAAAUAGUCAAUACGUCCUUGAAUUAGCCAUCUUCUCAUCCUAAAAAUAAUUUUUUUACUUUUAUUGUUUAGUGAUUCUCUUUUAAUUAGAUAUAUAUAUAUUUUUUUUGACAAGAAUUGGAUAUAUUUCUUAGUGAUUAUGUUUUAAUUCUAUAAGAUUGUUUCUUUACAUUUUAAGAAGUUUCAUUUUGAUCAAUAAGAUAUCUGAUUCAAUAAAUCAAUUUCUGAUAUUAACCUAAGCUUAUUAUUUGAUCAAGGAUUAUGCUGAAAUUGAUUCGAUAUUUCUGGAAGAAUUUGAAGAAGAAUUAGGAGAUACUUGGAAUUUCCUUGAUCAUUCAGGAAAUUCUCACAAUGUAACAUUAUCAUCUCAACACUUGAGCAUGGAUGGGAACCUUUCUGCACUGAAAAUAAAUUUGUAUCCGGUGAUAAAAUAUGAUUCAAGCUCUUUGAUGGACCUUUCAGCCACUACGUUCAUGUUUUCAAAGUAGAUGGUUAGGUCUUCAUGUUGCUAAUGAUUAUGUUUUGUAAAAACUGGAACCUCUGCAGCAUGCUUCGUUGUUUUUCGAAUCUAUGAACAAUAUUUCUAUUUUGCUUCUGAUCUUGUAUUUGUCUGCUCAAGUCUAAACUAUGCUUUUAUUACUCUAUACUAAAAUAUAUUUAUUCUCUCCUUUUUAGUUUAUAAAUGUGAAUUUGACGGUUUAUCGUUUUAGUAGCGAUUCAAGUUCAAAUACUAAUAAAUUUUAAUAAUAAACAAUUUUUUUAAAUACAACUCAUUUAAACAUGUAACAAAGAAUUUAAACUUUAAUCAAUUAAAGUUACAAUGUUGGUGUCAUUAAAAAAAGAUAAGAAUUUAUUUUAGUUGCAAUGUUGUUGCUGUCAUUGUAAAAUAUAAGUAUAAUUUGUACAAUAUGAAAGUGCAAUAUAUCUAUACCUAUAAUUUUAAUCAAAAUCAAAAUAAUUUUAAUCAAAAUUCCGGAAAAAGUAAGGUUUGUAAUUUAUACGCAUUAACGAAAUAAAAAGAGCAGACAUACUAGCUAAAAGUGUGUCUACAGGAUUUGGUAGUAAAUUGGUUCAUCAGGUCAUGAAUUCUGCGGUGCUUCAUAUUAUCUGGAUCAUUUGGAUUGAGAGAAACCAUAGGUGUUUUGCUGAUUUACAGCGGUCUAUGGUCUCUUUGUUCAAUGUUGUUUUGGCUGAGGUUCGUCUUAGCUUCACCCUUGUUAUCUCUAAAGGGGCCUCUGAUAUGGUUGAUUACAAUGUUUCCAAGCUCUUUAAUGUCCCCUUCCAGGUUAAAAGGAUUAGCAUUGCCAAAGAAGUUUCUUGGACCCCUCCCUCGGAUGGGAUUGUGAAGAUUACUUGUGAUGGAUCCUCCUUUGGGCUCAUUCCUUGUGGAGCGGUUGACUUUGUGAUUAGGGACUCUGGUUCUAACUUUUUGGGUGCAGUGGCUAGUAAUAUUGGUCAGGCCUCCUCCCUUGAAGCUGAAUUUUGUGCCUUUCUGUUAGCUAUUGAAAAGGCCAAAGACAUGCAUCUGACUCAUCUUUGGAUAGAAACUGACUCUUUGGCUGUGGUCAAUGCUUUCCAUAGAGGCUCUGGUAUCCCUUGGAAGUUACGUGGUAGAUAGUAUAACUGCUUGCACUUAUGCAAGUUGUCUGGCUGCAUCUGCACUCACAUUCUCAGAGAAGGUAAUAUGGCUGCUGAUGCCCUUGCUAAGAAUGGUCAAGGUCUUGCUAUGUUCUCCUUUCAAUGGUGGCUUGCCCCUCCUCCUUUUAUUUCAUCCUUUUUGUUGAGGGAUAGUUUAGGCUUACCUUACUCUCGUACUCAUAUGGAUUGAUUUUGUAUUUGGUUAAGGCCUCUCCUGACUCUUUCUUUCAUUUGCCUUUAUCAAAAAAAAAAAAAGUGUCCGAACACUGACUUUAUAUAUUUUUAGGAUUAAAUUUUCAUUCCGUCUGUAUAAAUAUUCAAACUCUUUGUUUUAAUUUUUAUUAAAAAUUUCUUAUUCUUUUAGUCCCACAAAAUUUAUUCGUCUACUCUUCAAAUUUUUCAAUGAAUUUUUGCAUAAAUAUUCUUAAUGAGUGAAUAGCUAUUUCGUAUUCAAAUUUGUAUGUAUUGGUCAUUGUCAUCGUCAAAAUUUUUGAAAUAGCCAAUACGUCUUUGAAUUAGCCAUCUUGUAUGCGUAGAAGGACAAAUUUGGUAAAAAAAUAUUAUUUAUUUUUUGAAUUUUUUUAAACGAAAGUCAUUACAAAUUGUUACACUUUCAAAUUGACAUUCAGAUUAUUGGUUAAAAAUCAAGUUGGUUAAUGAAUUAUGUCACUCACUAUUAAAUCGAUCCAUAAAUUAUUUAUCUUUAUCUAUCAAUCUGAUCCGUGAUUGAUACCGUCAAAUACAUGUUAAAAACUAAAAGAAUGUGUUUAAGAGACUAGCCUUUUUCCAACACUUAAGUGUUGCAACUAGUCACGAUCCAAAUAAGUUGUAUUUUCCACUGAUUAUCCACGUAUGCAGUUUCUUGACAUUCUUUUAAUUUUACUUUCUUCGUCCUAAAUUAUAGUCGUUUUGGAGAAAAAAACCUAUCCCAAAUUAUGAGUUGUUUUUAAAAUAGUAUUAAGUGAUAUUUUUACUCCUAUAUCCUCAACUAUUUAUUACUCCCACUUCUUUCAAUUUUUUAAUUUAUCUUUCACAUAUCAUUAAUAAAGGAUAAUUUUAUAAAAUUACUUAGAAUUUCUCUUUUGCAGACAAACUGUGUUUCUUAAUUUGUGUGAAAUGUCUAAAACAUUAUUUGAUUUGGGACGAAUGGAGUAUCAUUAUUUGACAAUAUCAAGGAUCAAAUUGAUAGAUAAGAUAAAUAAUUCAAGGAUCGAUUUGACAGUGUGACAAUUUGUAAUAAUUUUUGUUUUAAAAAAACAAAAAAAAAAUCACUUUGUUUGAUCAAAUUCCUCUCUAUACACUGUACACGUGGAAGCUGACUUGAAACUCCACGUCAACGCUUAACGUGUUAUAUAAGCUUGAGUACCGUUAACAACGAGACUUGACGGAGAGAUCAAUUUGAUCAAUGUUUAUAAAAUUCAAGGAUCUAUUAGCUAUUUCAAAAAAUUCAAAGAUGAAAUCGAUUGAUGGAUGCAAAUUUGAGAACGAAAUAACUAUUUAAUUUAUUUUAAAUCUCCAAAUUUAAAUAUGAAUUUUUAAAGUCAAAAUCAUAAAAAAUAUGGAGAAGGUUAGAACUUCACUUUUCUUUUUUCUUUUCUUUCUUAUCCCUUCGCAUCACUGUGGCCUGAAAACCGAAAUUCAAUGACGACGAUAUCGUACCUUUUUGAAGAGCUUUAUAUAAGCUUUGUUGAAGAGCUUACAAACAUUUGAUGAACUUUUUUAUAAGUUCUUCUGAACAGUCUCACAAGUGCUUAUGCUUGUAGAUAAGAGCAUGUUUGGAUAAACAACUUAUUUGUAGCUUAUAACACAAUAAAUGCUUAUUUACAUGCUUGCAUAAGCUAUAUUUUUAUAGCAAAAGAUAAAACAAAGUUAAAUUGUUUUUGUAAAUGUUAUAAGUUGUUUUACUAAGCUGUAUUGGAGAAUUUAUGAAAAUAAGUUGAAAAAAGCUGUUGUCAUAAGUUCUCCCAAACAGUUUCACAAAACUACGAGUAGAUAAGCUCAAAUAAGCCGGUCGAAAGAGGCCUUUGUUAUACCGUUGUAACUGUGUUUAUCAAACGAAAUAUACUUCAAGGAUGGUUGAAAAUGCUGUCAAGGAAGGACAGAGUAGGGAAAUUUUCACAAGGUAAAACUGUCUAUAGCAUAAUGUUUAAAUUCAUAAGCAUUAUUUCGUCAUUUUAAUUUUUUACAGGAGAGUAUCUGUUUCCAUGAGAUAAUGUACUGAAGAGACGGUUGAUUCUAACAUGGAGAAAUUUUACACGUAACGAUUAUCCCCAAACUUUCGGCUUAAGGUAUGUUGCAGUAACAAUUUUUGUGGUUUGUGUUGUUACAUUGCCUGUGAAGUUAAUUGAAUCUGUAAUUGCAAAGGAAUAUAUAUCAUUGAUUAUUUAUGAUUUUUAUAAACAUUUUCAAACCAUAGUUUAUGAGGUUAUUUAAAGUAAUCUAAUCUCAGUCAUAAUAUUUUUUUGCAACUGAUGAUUGAAUUCUUAAUAUAGUGUCAUUGGUUCAAUAUAACACAUGUGAGAAUCAUUCACUCAAAUCUCAUUGUUGAUAUCUCGUUUAUCAUAUGUUCAGUUCUGCAGCGCGUACACCAAAAUCACGGUGAAACACAAACUAAUGUGGAAGCUUAGUUAUAGAGCUUCAGUAAAAUCGCGUUAGAAGCGGUCUAGGACGCGAGAUUGAAGACUCGAGCGUGAAUCCAAACACAUGGUUAGUCAGUUUUGGAAAAAGUUUAUGUUGAAAACUAUGUUAUUCUUGUAAAUUAUGUGAUCCAGCAGUUCUGUUUUUAGUUUUUUUGUGAAAAAUUAGACAUAUGGUUAGUCUAUGUGUUUUACAAAUCGGCAUAUGCGUUCCUAAAACUGUAAUGCGUUAGUCAAAAUGGUCCCUCUGUUACCUUCUGUUGUUAGAGGUUAUGUCGUGACUCUUUGAAUGGACAUGUGGCCUUUAAAUUCAUCCAUUUCAUCCAUAGAAACUUAUGUGGCACAUUAAAUUCAUCCAUUUCACGCCAAUUGUGAGUUUACAACCUCAGGAUUCAAAAACAUAAAAUAAUAUUUACCACAUAAAUUUUAUGUACAGUUUAGUCUCCACGUGGAAGGCCAUAUGUUUAUUUAAUGUGUCACAUCAUAACCUAUAAUCGCAGAAGAUAAUGGAUAGACUGUUUUGUCUGACAAGUUGCAGUUUAAGAGAUGUAUUUGCCAAAUUCAUGGACUAUUUUUGAGUUUUGACACUCACAAUUUCGAGGAUCAAUUUGCCUAUUUUACUUUUAUUGUUUAUUAUUCAUUGAUUGUUUUAUAAUUAACUUGAUUAACCAUUUUAUAUUUAACUAGAUGAGGUUGAUUUUGAUGUAAAAAAAUGAAUGAUUCAAAGUUAUAGUUUUUAAAAGAAUUAGACAACUGGUAUUAUUUUAACUGUUGUCAAUGGAAAAUUUGAAUACAGGAAUGGUUCUCUUAGAUGUGAGAGGAUACAAGUUGACUUAAUGUAAUAAAAAAGAGAAGGAAGGGAGAAAAAGUUAAAACUGACGACUAGUAACUGAUAACCUUAUUAAAUGGUGAAAUAUCUCUACAAUCUCUUAGUGUGUAUCCGACAUAAUUAAAUAAAACAACAUGUGUUAUUUGAAAUGGUAGCAGUCUUCAGAACCAUUACCUGUGGUUCGUGAGACGGUUGAUCAUAUGCUAUUAAUCUCCCUAAUGAAUUUCACCAACUGUGCAUAUUUGUUCUCUGUUUUAUUCAUUUUGUUUUGCUAUUUUCUAAAUGUUAGUAUUGGUACAAACACCAUCACAUCAUCUCAAUAUAUCAAAGACCCUGAAGCUCUAACCUCCAAAGAUGGUAACUUCACCUUGGGAUUCUUUAGUGCUAAAAAUUCUACAAACCGCUAUGUUGGAAUUUGGUGGAAGUCUCAAUCUACUAUCAUAUGGGUGGCAAACAGAAACCAACCAUUGAAUGAUACUAAUGGGAUUGUCACAAUAUCUGAAGAUGGAAAUCUUGUGGUAUUGAAUGGACAGAAACGAGUCUAUUGGUCAUCAAAUGUUUCCAACAUAGCAUCCAAUACCACUUCGCAGUUUUCAGACUAUGGCAACCUUGUCCUUUUGGAGAGCACAACCGGAAACACCUUAUGGCAGAGUAUUCAGCAACCUACAGAUACAUUACUGCCUGGUAUGAAACUUUCUGUCAACAAAAGAACAGGUAUGAGUGUAAAAAUGAAAUCAUGGAAAAAUCCUUCUGACCCAUCCAUCGGAAACUUCUCUUCUAGUACUAUUGAACGCCAACAUAUACACGAAGUGUUCAUUUGGAAUGAAACUCGAACAUCCUGGCGCAGUGGUCCCUGGAAUGGUGGUGUCUUCACUGGGAUACAGGCAAUGGCAAUGGCAUAUUUUUUUGAUUUUCAAGUUGGAGAUGAUGGAGAAGGGAGUACUAGUAUAUAUUACACUAUACAAAAUGAUGUGGGAUUAGUGAUCUAUCAUUUGAAUUCACAUGGAGUAUUAGAAGAAAAACGGUGGGAUGAUGAGAAGAAAGAAGUUCAUGUUACAUGGACAAGCCGAGAUUCAGAGUGUGAUGUUUAUGGUAUAUGUGGCGCAUUUGCAAUCUGUAGUUCAUCGACCUCACCAAUAUGCAGCUGUCUGAAAGGAUUUGAACCUAAAAAUAUACGUGAAUGGAAAAUAAACAACUGGUCUGGUGGGUGUGUUAGGAAGACACCUUUGCAGUGCGAAAGGGUCCACAAUAAAACCACAAGUACAAAGGAAGAUGGGAUUUUGAAACUACAGACGAUUAAAGUUCCAGAUUUUGCUGAAGGUUUAAUCGUUACACCUGACAUAUGCAGAAGCCUAUGCUUGGAGAAUUGCUCUUGCCUUGCAUAUUCUCAUGAUGAUGGGAUUGGCUGUAUGCUGUGGACUGCAAAUCUACUUGACAUACAACAGCUUGAAAUGGGAGGACUCGAUCUAUAUGUUCGUAUAGCCCAUGAAAAACCUGGUAUGCUCUAGGUUUUGUUUGUUAAAAGAAUUUGAGUCUUAGGUCAUUAACUUGAUUUUAUCUCUUAUGAGUUAAGACUCGAUUAAAUUUCUUAUAUUUUAAAAUUUCAAUAGAUACAGAUAAGAGGAGAAACAAGACAAUCAUCAUUUUAAGUACAGUGAUAGUUGGCUCUAUCAUAAUUCUUAUUUGUGCAUAUAUCAUUUGGAGAAGGACGGGAAACCACCCAGGUAAUAUACCACUUUCGAGUAUUCAACUUGAGUCAUAAAACUUACUUUCUAUAAAUGAGGAACUAUACUUAAACUGUGUUUUCACUGCAGCUAAACUGUGGCUUUUUACUAAAUCAGCAAGGAAAAAGAACAACAAAGCUUUCCAACAAUUUAAUAUAGGUGGAUCACCAAAUGUUUCUCCUAGUGACAACGUAAUUGGAGAAAUGUCCCAAGUUAAACUGCAAGAGUUAUUAAUAUUUGAUUUUGAGAAACUUGCAACUGCCACUAACAACUUCCACUUGUCCAACAAACUUGGACAGGGUGGUUUUGGUAUAGUAUACAAGGUACCUUAAAUGCAACAAUUAUAAAUAUUUUAAAGCCAUUGUCACAUAAUAUUUUAUAACCAUUGUUUAUAGCUGUUGUAACAUAAUAUUUUCUUCUAGGGGAAACUGCAAGAUGGUCGAGAAAUAGCAGUUAAAAGACUUUCUAAAGCAUCUGGACAAGGGUUGGAGGAAUUCAUGAAUGAAGUAGUGGUUCUUUGUAAGCUUCAACACCGUAAUCUUGUAAGACUUCUUGGCUGCUGUACUGAUGGUGAUGAAAAGAUGUUGAUGUAUGAGUACAUGCCAAACAAAAGUUUGGAUGCAUUCAUCUUUGGUUAGUUCUUUG